rnacentral:rRNA from 1 species
GGGCUCAGGAUGAACGCUGGCGGCGUGCCUAACACCUUUAAGUCGAACGAAGCACUGGAGACGGAGAUUCGUCGAAGUUUCCUUUGACUUAGUGGCGGACGGGUGAGUAAUGCGCGAGCAACCUGCCUUUCAGAGGGGGACAACAGUUGGAAACGACUGCUAAUACCGCAUGACAUAUUCGAAUGGCAUCAUUUGAAUAUCAAAGAUUUAUCGCUGAAAGAUGGGCUCACGUCUGAUUAGUUAGUUGGUGAGGUAACGGCUCACCAAGACUGCGAUCAGUAGCCGGACUGAGAGGUUGAACGGCCACAUUGGGACUGAGAUACGGCCCAGACUCCUACGGGAGGCAGCAGUGGGGAAUAUUGGGCAAUGGGCGAAAGCCUGACCCAGCAACGCCGCGUGAAGGAAGAAGGUCUUCGGAUUGUAAACUUCUUUUAUCAGGGACGAAGGAAGUGACGGUACCUGAUGAAUAAGCCACGGCUAACUACGUGCCAGCAGCCGCGGUAAUACGUAGGUGGCGAGCGUUAUCCGGAUUUACUGGGUGUAAAGGGCGCGUAGGCGGGGAUGCAAGUCAGAUGUGAAAUCUAUGGGCUUAACCCAUAAACUGCAUUUGAAACUGCAUCUCUUGAGUGUCGGAGAGGUAGACGGAAUUCCUAGUGUAGCGGUGAAAUGCGUAGAUAUUAGGAGGAACACCAGUGGCGAAGGCGGUCUACUGGACGAUAACUGACGCUGAGGCGCGAAAGCGUGGGGAGCAAACAGGAUUAGAUACCCUGGUAGUCCACGCCGUAAACGAUGGAUACUAGGUGUAGGAGGUAUCGACCCCUCCUGUGCCGCAGUUAACACAAUAAGUAUCCCACCUGGGGAGUACGACCGCAAGGAUGGAACUCAAAUGAAUUGACGGA